rnacentral:rRNA from 1 species
UAGGGAAUUUUCGGCAAUGGGCGAAAGCCUGACCGAGCAACGCCGCGUGAAGGAAGAAGGAAUUCGUUCUGUAAACUUCUGUCAUAGAGGAAGAACGGUAUGUGUAGGGAAUGACACAUAAGUGACGGUACUCUAUAAGAAAGCCACGGCUAACUACGUGCCAGCAGCCGCGGUAAUACGUAGGUGGCGAGCGUUAUCCGGAAUUAUUGGGCGUAAAGAGGGAGCAGGCGGCGCUAAAGGUCUGUGGUGAAAGACCGAAGCUCAACUUCGGUAAGCCAUGGAAACCAAAGGGCUAGAGUGUGUGAGAGGAUCGUGGAAUUCCAUGUGUAGCGGUGAAAUGCGUAGAUAUAUGGAGGAACACCAGUGGCGAAGGCGACGAUCUGGCGCACAACUGACGCUCAGUCCCGAAAGCGUGGGGAGCAAAUAGGAUUAGAUACC